rnacentral:rRNA from 1 species
AGUAAUCGUAGAUCAGCAUGCUACGGUGAAUACGUUCCCGGGUCUUGUACACACCGCCCGUCACACCACGAGAGUUUGUAACACCCGAAGCCGGUGGAGUAACCAUUUAUGGAGCUAGCCGUCGAAGGUGGGACAAAUGAUUGGGGUGAAGUCGUAACAAGGUAGCCGUAUCGGAAGGUGCGGCUGGAUCACCUCCUUUCUAAGGA